rnacentral:lncRNA from 1 species
AGAGAGAGGAAGAAGACAACAAGAACAAGAGCAAGAACAAAGCAGCUUAUGUAAAAUACUGACAGCUUACUGCAAUUUUACAGCAUUCCUCACAAGGUGGUUCAGAAUAGAUCCAGUGGACUGUAGUCUGUUUAACUGAGACCUCACACAUAAUGUCAUGGUUGACAGUUACUGGUUGAAGGAAAUCCAUGUUGGGCUUCUGUGGAUGCUGGAUUCUUUCCUUCUGAGAAGAAAUAUAACACACUGACUUUGAGGUGAUGGUGGAGAAAAAGUACAAGCAGAAGACUUUUCCCAACUUCUCCAUAGAAUGAAGAGGGAAUCUUUGAACUUGAUUACCAAGGAGAUGGGAUGAUAAAUCCAUCCAGCCACUCCAAGAAGCCAAGUUAAGACCCUGCAACAAAGGGAAUUCAAAGACUUGAGCUGUCCAUUGAGAAAGAUCUGCUGCUUAAGUUCAAGUUCAUGUCCUCCAGAUGUUUCCCCCAUCCUCCAGGGUCACUGCCUUCUUGUCGAACUUGAAUCUGCCUUCAAUUUAUUAAUGGAUCUGGUUGGUGGCAUCCACUGUUUACCAAGAGCCUUUCUACAAUCCACACUACUGGACUAACGCUUUCCCCUACUUCACUCUACUCUCAAGGGAUGGAAGCACUGAUGAAGAGCACAGACAGAAUCAAGUGUACAUGCAGAACAUAUGGUAACCAUAUAAAGGGAUGAUGUCAAAAUUCUCAGCCUCCUUGCUCUUCAGUAUCUUCUUCCCCUUUACCUCGUCUGGAUGGUGUAUAAUGAAGAGGCACCUAGCGGUGCCUCCUGCCUCUAGAGUAAGAUUCAAGGGAGGAUAUAUAGGCUCCUCCAUAGGGUCAAGAGGUUUUCAAAGGCUGUGUUGUCCCAUCCAGCUACCAAAACAAGAGACAAAAUUGUGACCUGGAGUUGAAACUCUAGUGAGUGAUAAAGAGGGGAAGUUUCCUAAAGCAGAAGUUCUCAGUCUGGGGGCUAUCUGUGUGUUGUGUACUGAAUUUUGUGUCCUCCCAAAAUUCAGACGUUGAAGCCCUAGUCCCCAUUGUGGUUGUAUUUGGAGGUGGGGCUUUGGGAGAUGAUUAGAAUUAGAUUAGUUCAUGAAGGUGAAGCCCUUCUGAUGGGAUUAGUACCCAUACAAGAAGAGACACAAGAUCCCUCUACCAAUUAUGCUAGCUCUCCUCUCUUUCUCUCUCCACCGUCUGGGAUACUUCAGGAAGAUGUCUGUCUGCAAACCAGGAAGAGGUCCCUCAAGCACUAAAUCUGCUGGCACCUUGAUCUUGGGCUUCCCAGCCUUUAGGACUGUGAGAAAUCUUUGCUGUUUAAGCAAUCCCAUCUAUGGUAUUUUGUUACAGCAGCCCAAGCUGACUAAGACACUGUGGAUACCUUGCAUGCCUGGGAGGCUUGCACAUCCUUGGACAUUAUAAGUAAUAUUUUUCUGAAAAGGGGUCAUAACUCUCAUCGGAGAGUCAAAAGACCAAGUCUAUGACUCCCAAAAGAUUAUAUACCACUGACGGAGUGGCCCUUGUGUUCUUAUCCUGUAGAACCACAAGAAACUUGAGGAUUGGGGAUCCUAGUCCUGGCCUUCAUUCCGUACUUGCAUGACCAACAUCUAAGAGUACUAACAAAUAUGAUGAAAUAAGAAAGAUUCAAGAGGAUACACAUAUUUUCUUUGUCCAAUG